CUUGAAGAUGCCGGCCUCCGCCCAGCCGCCUGCCACGAAGAGCACCGCGCAGUCGGCCUGCACCGCGGGGAUACACAAACACACCGGGUUGCGGGAGGGGGCAUCGGACUGACUUUGGGAGGUUCCGAAUCCCAUUGUAAAGCUGGGGAAUGCCCUCCAGAACUCAGAUGGCCAAAUGGGAUUCAUGGACCACCCUAGAUGCGGUGCAUGGGGGUCCUGCUUCCCAGUUCCUCUCAUUUAAUCUCAUCUAAAUCAGCUUUUAGUCCCUUCUUUCUGGACCAACUGAUCUACUAGUCUGAGUGUAAGAAAACCUGGUCCCUCUAGGCCCCCCCAGGACAACAGGAUCUGAGCUUCAUGAGAGUGAUGGGACUUUCAGUCCUGUCCUCCCUAAUUCUUUCAGGAUUGAUGGAUGAUGGCCAUAGGAAUGUUUCUGAAGGCAUGGACUGCUUUACCUGGGAAGUGCCCCUGAUCAUGGUCAUGAUGAAGUCUCUGUGGCCUGGAGCAUCGAUGAUAAUGCUGUAAUCCUUUUCCUUCCCGUCUCCACAUGUCCAGAAGUUUGGUCCCCAUAAAAUUACAGUGGGCUGGGCACAGUUGCUCACGCCUGUAAUCUCAGCACUUUGGGAGCCUGAAGCAGGAGGAUCACUUGAACUUAGGAAAAGAAGGCCAGCCUGGGCAAUAUGAUUUAACCCAUCUCUACAAAAAAUUAAAAAUAGAGAAAAGAAAAAUUAGCCAGGCACAGUAGUGUGCACCUGAGGGGGCUGAAGUGGGAGAAUCACUUGAGCCUGGGAAGCAGAGGUUGCAGUGUGCCAAGAUCACAUGACUGCACUCCAUUCUGGGUGACAGAGUGAAACACUGUAUC
rnacentral:lncRNA from 1 species